CACGGAUGAAUCAUCGUAUUGAUGAAUGGCCACACAAAUUCAGACCACACAAGACUUCCAACUGGGCCUAGGGAUACAAUUGAAAGAAGAUGAGAAAAAGAAUUCUUAGACUUCUCUAAAUUGGCAAACUUCAUGGGAAACCCUGGAAGUCUCUUGGCGUCUCUUUCAAGCUUCUUAUAUGUUCAGGGUCAACAUUGCAGCCACAUAUGGAAGGGGAGCAAGCAAGAAAGAAAAGGGGAACAGGAAGAAAGCUUGUGUUUACUAUCACCCCCAUGAAGUCAGCAGGAAAUGGCUCAGUAGAGAUCAACCCCCAUACUGUUCUGAGGAAAAGGGAGUGAUGGUCUCUGCCCAGUGACUGAAGAGUUAAUCACGACCAGCAUCAGAUUCAUUGCCAGAGAGGAGAAAAGUGCUACCCUUCAAGGAAGCUAUAGAAUUAUCAUCAUAUGGAAUUCUGGUUACAGGUCUACAAAAAUGCUUAUACUUAAA